rnacentral:rRNA from 19 species
UAAAGAGUAAUGUAUAAGGGAGGUGGAUGCCUUGGCGAUAUAAGGCGAUGAAGGACGUGUAAGCCUGCGAUAAGCUUCGGGGAGCUGGCAAUCAAGCUUUGAUCCAAAGAUUUCCGAAUGGGGAAACCCAGCACAUCAUGGGGUGUUACUCUCAACUGAAUACAUAGGAUAGUGUAGGGGGAACCAGGAGAACUGAAACAUCUAAGUACCCGGAGGAAGAGAAAAUCAAUAAUGAUUCCGUAAGUAGUGGCGAGCGAAACCGGAGGAGCCCAAACCAGUGUGAGUGUGGGAUAAUGGGGUUGUGUGGUGUGGUGUGUGUAUGUGGUGAAGGUGAAGUUGGAAGAAAGAGGGUGAAAGGUAUGAAAAGGAGUAGGGCGGGACACGUGAAAUCCUGUCUGAAUCUGGGGGGACCAUCCUCCAAGGCUAAAUACUCAUAUCGACCGAUAGUGAACCAGUACCGUGAGGGAAAGGUGAAAAGAACCCCGGGAGGGGAGUGAAAUAGAACCUGAAACCCGUGUGCCUACAAGCAGUGGGAGCACCCUUGUGGGGUGACUGCGUGCCUUUUGUAGAAUGAACCAGCGAGUUACCUUUCAUGCGCGAGGUUAAGUCAAGAGACGGAGCCGUAGGGAAACCGAGUCUGAAUAGGGCGAUUAGUGUAUGUGGAGUAGACCCGAAACCGAGUGAUCUACCCAUGGCCAGGUUGAAGGUGCGGUAACACGCACUGGAGGACCGAACCCAGUUUGCGCACGUUGAAAAGCGUUUGGAUGAGUUGUGGAUAGGGGUGAAAUGCCAAUCAAACUCGGAGAUAGCUGGUUCUCCCCGAAAUAGCUUUAGGGCUAGCCUCGAUGUAAUAUAGCCAACGGAGGUAGAGCACUGUUAUGGCUAGGGGAGGGCAACUGUACCAACCGUUAGACAAACUCCGAAUGCCAUCAAGUGAUACCAUGGCAGUCAGACAGCGGGGCUAAGGUCCGUAGUCGAAAGGGAAACAGCCCAGACCACCAGCUAAGGUCCCAAAAUUAUAUAUUAAGUGGAAAACGAUGUGGGGUUGCACAGACAGCUAGGAUGUUGGCUUAGAAGCAGCCAUUCAUUUAAAGAGUGCGUAAUAGCUCACUAGUCGAGUGACCCUGCGCCGAAAAUGUAACGGGGCUAAAAUCUAUAUACCGAAGCUGUGGAUCGUUAUAGGUUUAGAGUGGUAGGGGAGCGUUCUAUAGGCGGAUGAAGCUGAACCGUAAGGUGUGCUGGAGCGUAUAGGAAGUGAGAAUGCUGGUAUGAGUAGCGAUAAGACAGGUGAGAAUCCUUUCCACCGUAAGACCAAGGUUUCCUGGGCAACGGUUCAUCGCCUAGGGUUAGUCGGGACCUAAGGCGAGGCGGAGAAGCGUAGUCGAUGGACAACAGGUUGAUAUUCCUGUACUCGGUUAUAAUCUGGAGUAGUGUGGACGGUAAAGGUUAGGUCGCAAGCGGAAUAGCUUGGUAUAUAUGCGGGUCCAGACUUAGGCAAUCGGGUCAACGCAAAAGUGAGUGACGAAGUUAAUCUACGGAUGGUAACGAGUUUGUGAUGAAAGUACCUGCCGUCCAGGAAAAGCAUAUACGCGUCAAAUUAUAGCUGCCCGUACCGCAAACCGACACAGGUGGUCGAGGAGAGAAUACUAAGGCUGAGCGAGAGAACCCUCGUUAAGGAACUCGGCAAAAUAGCACCGUAACUUCGGGAGAAGGGUGGGUGAAGGCCGCAGUGAAAAGAGCCCAAGCAACUGUUUACCAAAAACACAGGUCUCUGCUAACACGAAAGUGGAUGUAUAGGGGCUGACUCCUGCCCAGUGCUGGAAGGUUAAGGGGAGUGCUUUACGGUGCGAACUGAAGCCCCAGUGAACGGCGGCGGUAACUAUAACCGUCCUAAGGUAGCGAAAUUCCUUGUCAGGUAAGUUCUGACCCGCACGAAUGGAGUAAUCAUGUGGGCACUGUCUCGGCGAAGGACUCGGUGAAAGUGCAUUGGCGGUAAAGAUGCCGUCUGUCCAUGCCAGGACGAGAAGACCCCAUGGAGCUUUACUACAGCUUUACAUUGACACGGGUUACAUCAUGUGUAGCAUAGGUGGGAGGCUUUGAAGCAGAUACGCCAGUAUUUGUGGAGCCACAGGUGAAAUACCACCCUUGAUGUAGUCUUUGUCUUACCAUUUCCGUUAUCCGGUAAUGGGACCGUGUAUGGUGGGUAGUUUAACUGGGGCGGUUGCCUCCUAAAGAGUAGCGGAGGCGUUCAAAGGUUGGCUAGCUUCGGAUGGAAAUCGAAGUGAUAGUGCAUGCGCAAAAGCCAGCUUGACUGUGAGGAUUACAAUUCGACCAGAGUGGAAACACGGAGCAAGUGACCCGCUGUAAGAACAUUGUUCAUUGAAUGUGGGAUCGACAGCGCACACGGAUAAAAGUUACCCUGGGGAUAACAGGCUUAUCGCGCCCAAUAGUUCACAUAGACGGCGCGGUUUGGCACCUCGAUGUCGGCUCAUCACAUCCUGGAGGGGGAGCACCUUCCAAGGGUUCGGCUGUUCGCCGAUUAAAGUGGUACGCGAGCUGGGUUCAGAACGUCGUGAGACAGUUCGGUUUAUAUCCGGCAUGGACGUAAGGAUUCUUGAGGAGAUUUGUCUCUAGUACGAGAGGACCGAGAUGAACGAACCUCUGGUGUAUCGAUUGUGGCCACCUGCUGCAGUGUCGAGUAGCUAUGUUCGGUUAAGAUAAGCGCUGAAAGCAUAUUAAGCGCGAAACUGACUCCAAGAUUAGGAAUCCCAUGAGGACACAGAAAGAUGAUCUGUUUGAUAGGCGCAAGGUGUAAACCUGGUAACAGGCUAGCCAAAGCGUACUAAUAGUCCAAUCGCCUUUUUAUG